AAUAAAGCAAAUUAAAAUAAUAACAAUUUGUGCAAGAACAGAUUUUCAUAUAGAUUCGAAGUAAACCAAAAAUGAAGAAUGAAUGACUAAAACAAAUACGCAUUGGACUCGGAGCAGAACUUAGAACAAAAUUAUACUUUUGGCGAUAUACAGAGUUUUGAGCUGCCUUAGAAAAUACCCAACGUACCCUUAGAUCAGUUCCGGCUGCAAUUUAAUGUGUACUCAAAUUUCCAGAAAAUGUCCCAUAGAAGGCUGAGCGCAAAAAUAUAUGGAGAUCUUCCAAUACUGGAAUUAUGAUAUUUGGCUUGCAGAACCAAUUGAUGCGUCGGACUAUAUAAUUUUACAACAUAUAAAGGUUUCUUUGCCUGAGUCUGAAAGUCUGGCCCAUAAGCUUACGAAUUGCAAAGGCAAGCUUCAACCUUUUGUUCUUGUGGACGGCACAAAAGUAUUGUACUUUCUUGGUUCUUCUUGCCUUGGCUGUAUAUUCUUUCAAAUAUAUAUUUGUAUGUAACGUCUUAUACAAUUUUUAUGUUUUUUUUAAA